rnacentral:rRNA from 1 species
GGGUCAGUAGGUUGGUCGUGCCACCGGUACGUACUGGUCUCACUGAUUCCUCCUUCCUGAAGAACCGUAAUGCCAUUAAUUUGGUGUUGCGGGGAAACAGGACUGUUACUUUGAAAAAAUUAGAGUGUUUAAAGCAAGCUAACGCUUGAAUACAUCAGCAUGGAAUAAUGAAAUAGGACGAUCGAUCCUAUUUUGUUGGUUUCUAGGAUUGACGCA